GGCUUUUUGAAAAUAAUUUAAGGUCGGGCCUGCCCAAUGAUUUAAUUAAAUGGCCGCGGUAUAUUGACCGUGCAAAGGUAGCAUAAUCAUUAGUUUUUUAAUUGAAAGCUUGGAUGAAGGGUUUAAUGAAAAAAAUACUGUCUCUAUUUAAGUUUUUUAGAAAUUUAUGUUUAAGUAAAAAAGCUUAAAUGUAUAUUGAAGACGAGAAGACCCUAUAGAGUUUAAUAUUUUGUGUAAUAAUGAUAUUGGCUAUUAAGAAUUUUAAGGAUUUGUUAUUUAAAGUAUUUCAUUGGGGUGAUUGAAAAAUUAAUUAAACUUUUUUUGUAUUUUUACAUUGAUGAAUGAAUUAAUGAUCCUUUAUUUGAGAUUAAAAGAUAAAAUUACCUUAGGGAUAACAGCGUAAUUUUUUUUAGAGUUCUUAUCGAAAGGAAAGAUUGCGACCUCGAUGUUGGAUUAAAAUAAAUUAUUGGUGUAGAAGCUAAUAAAUUAGGUCUGUUCGACCUUUAAAUUUUUACAUGAUCUGAGUUUAAACCGGUGUGAG
rnacentral:rRNA from 1 species